GUCAAGUGUUGUAGUACCCUGGAUCUUUAUAAAAGGUCUCCUCUUGAAUGCCAAGGCAAUCAUUCUAGCCUCCCGCACAGAUCGACUUGGAAGCAGCCAUCUCUGCGCCUGCUGAUUUCGUUGUCGUCUCUGCCAAAAAAAAGAGAAAGUCAGGAUGAAGACUUCUGUGUUCCUGGUCCUGCUGGUGGUCAUCGGCUGUGCCUUUGCAUGGGGCGAUUCGAACAAGGAGGAGGAGAGAGAAUUGAUCAGAGAACUUCUCGGGGCACUUGGGGCUCGUCGUGAUGACAACCUGCAAGUAAAGAGAGGUCAGGAAUGCAGAGCUACUUUAGAAUGUCCAUCCGGCCAAGUCUGUGUCAGGCAAAAUCGCCACGAUCCAGGAAAUUGCCAGUAGGGACAUUAUUAACUCCCGGAAUCUGGAACUUUUGGGAGUUUCGGAGCACGACGGUGACAAGGCAGAUGGCUAAGAUUUAGAUGUUGACCACUUUAUUUGAAUUACUUAGGGAGCCAGGUAUACUAACGUCCUCGCACUAAAUUGAAACUAGUUUAUAUUUUAAUCUUGCAAUUUGUUCAGCGAUCAAGUGUUUCUGAUAAAAAAAAAAUCAGCAAACCACUCUCACAUUUAAAGGCAUUAUUCAAACAUGCGUCCUCUUCUAAAUUUGGAUGACUUGGUAAAAAAAAAAUGGUCCUCCCGUUCUCCUCCCGCCAAAUUCAAAGUCGGAUUAAAUAAAAUAAAAGCUCGUGCAACUAUCUUUUCAUCAUAUGAUAUCUUUUGUAUAUUUAGUUUAUUACCGUAUAACCCCGCCCCCCAACAUCACAAUGUACUGUGUUAUUCACGUGAAGCAAUCGAUACAUGUAUACCUGAAAAUGACGGCACGGAGGGUGGAGUUAACAUUGGCCUUGAUCCGAUGAAAAACCACACUG